rnacentral:antisense_RNA from 1 species
CAUCUUCCCUCUGUCUUGUUCCUAAGCGCACAGGGCUCCUCCGGCCCCGCCGAGCUGCGCCCGCUGCCUUCACACCCCGGACAUCCGCGCCACACGGGAGACCUGCGGAGACAGCCCCCGUGAGGCUCCCGUUCCCGCCCCCUCCCGCCCCAGGGACCCAGACCCCAGGAGGCCUCACCCCAGAGCAAGAGAAAGACCACCAACAUGGACAUGAUGGUCGCGCUCACUCCGGUGCAGUGAGUAUCUGGGUGCUGGAUCCUGGAUCCUGUUCUAGAAGGAGACGCUGAGUUCUCCGCACUCUACCUGGAGCUGCUGAGGUCAAGUGGAGAGUGCCAGGGCUGCAGCCCAGCGAGCCCCUCCCUGUCACACCACACUGCACAUGUGACACCAAAGGCGGGGUUCACCUCUUUUCAGACUUUCUGUGGUUGCCCUCACAUGGGCUGUCUGGAGGUGCACCUCACUCUUCUUGAGGACCAUGGUUCCUUCUCCAUCACUGGUUCAUUCUGUAUGGUGUGACCCACCAUGGCUCUGGAGUCGGAUUUCCACCCAGGUCAUUCAGCUGAGACCUGCGCUUCCCAGGCCUACCCGUGACAUGUGAUCAGUUACCUGAGCUGCUGGUGGUCACUCAUGUGGCUGUAGCCUGCUGCCUGGAGGCCAGGCCUCCCGCUUCCCCUGCCUCCCCCUCUCCUCACCACAGCCUGUUGGGAUGGAACAGGACAGGGGUGAGACCGUGGUGCUUUCACACUCAGCCUCCAUGGACAUCUUGUCAUUCCCACCCCGGGAGGUCUGGUCCCCACCCUGGGUGUCCCAGCCUAGCUCUGCUACGACUGUGAGGGCCCAGGGCAACCGCCUAGCCCUCAUCUGCCUCCUGCACUGCAUCCUCCCCACUCAUUCAUUCCACAGGCAUUUAUUGAGCAUCUACUGUGUGCCAGAUGCAAAGAAGACAGUGGGAUAACUGCG